UGAUCGCAAUAUGAGAAUAAAAAGAUACAAUACUAAAACUAAAACUAAAACUACGGGAAGGAAAAAGUAAAAUGCUCGACUACCUACUAACUUUCUACUCUAAUUCUCGACGUCCACAUCCUCCUAUCAAGGAUUAUGUCCUCGGUAAGCUCAAGUUGUGUCAUAUCUUGCCUAAUCACAUUUUCCCAAUACUUCUUUGGUCUACCUCUACCUCUCCUCAUACCCACCAAGACCAAUCUGUCAGGCCUCCUGACUGAGGCAUCUCUGUGCUUCUCCUCCUCACACGUCUGAGUCACCAGAGUAAUGAUUUUAGAAACCAAUGGCAGUGCAAUCCAUCAAAGAAUGGAUAGACGGUGAGAAAAAGACCAUCCCUGCAUCAUAUUUGAAUAUAGUAAUAAAAGCUAGCCCAACACCUUUUCUAGCUUCCAAAGUUGCUCUCAUAUAUAAGCAUAAGUUGUUUUAAUCCCAAAAUAAAUAAUGCAAAUGAAAACACAUACCAAGAAGAAUAUAACAGCUGUAAAGAUUGGUUUGCAUAUCUUUUCCUUUCUAUCAUGACAUGACUGAAUCUUGUUUACUAGUGCCUUCAACAAUGUUGAUGAAAAGGAAGAUCAGAAUUGCCAAAGCUAAUAUAGAAAUCUGUUGCAUUUUCUUAUGUUCUUUUUCACCAUAAUGUAACUUCUUCUUGGUUGAACUUCCUGGGAGUAAUCCAUAACCACAGCAAGCCAAAACAGAGGAUUGGUUAUUUAGAGGAGGAGUGGGAGUCUCGGCAGGUAGCCAUUUGUAACUACAGGAAUUCACAGUUAAAAUAUCCAAACUGAAUACCAACCAAACAGAUUAAACAAACUGAUUUUUUUUUAAUUUGGUUUUAAAUUUAUAUGGUUUGUUUUGGUUUUAUUUUAUAAAAAAUCAAGGAAAAAUCAAACCAACACGACAAAUUACAUAUACAAAUUUGAUAAAUAUAUAUUAAAAAAUCGAACCGCGAACACUCCCUAUGUGUAACUUAAGACCUCCAAAAGAGCAUCGGUUACCCCUAAUGCUUUGUCAAGUUUAUGAUACCAACAAUAUCCACAUUAUCCAACAGCCACAAUAAUUUCAAUACGCUAAAAUAAGUGCUUAUAGGCAAACCACAAAGCUCAACAAAAUGACUGACUUUAGAAUAAGAGGAAUGGGGAAGAGGAAGAAAAGAAUGAAGAGAAGGUAUAAUCUCAGAUAACACCAUCUCUUCAAACAAGUUAACCACAAGAUAUAUUAGACAGUCAAUUGCAAAACCAAUCACUCCUGCUGUCCGGUAGCCGGUUACAGCUGUUUCUAUUUCCUUCUCAGUUCAAUGGCGGACACAUGUUGUAUGAAGCGGUAUCAUGUGACACCGCUACAUCGGAAAAUUUUACUAAAUACAUAUAAUACUAUGUGGAACAUGUCAUAUACAAAAAAAUGACACCACUUGACAAAGCGUUAUCCUUGGCACACUGGUUAAGUGCUUGAUUUUGCUUGUAGAGGUUAGAGGUUUGGACCUCACUUUGAACACGUUUUUGGCUAAUAUUUGAGCGAGCCUCUAUCGUUAAAAGAUUGUUAUUAAGUAGAAUGGAACCGUGAACCUCUUCUAGCUUAAGACUCAACAAAAGGGAGCUCUUCCUCAUUUACAAAAUUGAUAAUAUAUGUUAUUUGUCUUCUUCUCUAAAUCUUGCUAUGCUACUGCUCAGUCUCACCCGACAAUGCAUAGCGGGCUAGCAUGCCAUUAUAGCCUUACGAACAAAAAUAAAAACCUUACGAAUAAUAUUUCUACUCGGCAUUUCGUCGAGCAUUUUGCAUAUGAAGCAUUCAUCCACACCAGAGUUUCUCCCUAACAACUCAUACUUACACCUCAUUUUCCAAGGAACAAAAUGAAAUAUAACUGGACGAAAAGCCUAAAGUAUUACAAAAUUCUACUUCUAUAGGCAUAAAAUUUCAGUACAAACCCGCGUCACACAAGUGUCAAAUUAAAACACAUGAAGAAUGAACUGCGAUUUUCAACUUUAACUGAACGAAUAAGGUGCAAAUUCAAAACGAAAAUCAAACUCUGAACUAUUAUUAACACCACACAAGCAUAAUCAACAAAUACCUAUUCGGAUUUUGAAAAGAAAAAUGUAAACUUUCGACUCAAUGUGAGCAAACUUUGCAUUAUAUCGUACUCUAAACUCAAAAAGAGAACAUAAUAAUACCAAUAGAUUGGUUGAAGAAUUACCUGAGAAUAGAAACAUUUGAGUACCACGAAGCUCGGAGACGAAAAGAACGGGAAAAGCGCCUGCUAUAUUUAGCUUGUAUUUGUACUUCAGUAAGAGCGAGUUACAAAUGCCAUUACAACUUCAGAUUACGAUUUGUAGGUUGCAUUACUCAGUUGCUAAUUGAUUUCUGAGUCGCAUUUAUAUAUUGCGAAUUUGUUCUUCAAUUCGAUUAUCAGUCGCAUUCGUUAAUCAAAAGUGAUUUAUCAUGCUAAAACAUGAGUCGAUCGCUCGUUAGGGACGGUUUAUAGAUCAUUCGUCAAUUGCUAUUUAUAAGUCGCAUUGUUAAUUUUCCGUUAGUUUAGCUGCAACAACCACAACGC
rnacentral:lncRNA from 1 species